CAGGAUCUCAUGUUGUCACCAUAACAUUGCAGGAGUGGUGUAUGGAAGGGGUGGUCAUGUCUUUCAGAUGGUGAUACAUCCUACAGUGAAAACUGUGACCUGGAGGAAUUAUAUGGCUUUCCUGUCACCUUGGUGGCUGUGGUUAGCCAGUUCAGGAUGCUUUCUGUGAGGACAGGAGGUGGAUGUAGUUCAGAGAGAGGAAGAUUG
rnacentral:lncRNA from 1 species